CGAAGUCUGCCCAGUGACAUAUUUAACGGCCGCAGUACACUGACUGUGCUAAGGUAGCAUAAUAAUUUGUCUUUUAAUUGAAGACUGGAAUGAAAGGCAUCAUGGAGAUAAGCUGUCUUAUAAAAACUCUCUAAAAUUUCCUUAAGAGGUGAAAAUUCCUCUAGUAUAUAAAUAAGACGAGAAGACCCUUAGAAUUAUAAUAACACUCAUAUGAUAAGAGGAAAAUUUUUGUUGGGGCAACAGUAUCAGAAUAAAACUGAUAUCUAAUAUAAAAAACAAAACCACUGUAUUAAAAAAGUAUUUAAUUACCUAAGGGAUAACAGCAUAAUUCAAAUAUGAGAGUAUGACCUCGAUGUUGGACUAAGGACUUUUUGCUCUAGGCGAGAAAAAAGAUUGUUCUGUUCGAACAAUAAUACCUUACGUGAUCUGAGUU
rnacentral:rRNA from 1 species